AACGAACGCUGGCGGCAUGCCUAACACAUGCAAGUCGAACGAGACCUUCGGGUCUAGUGGCGCACGGGUGCGUAACGCGUGGGAACCUGCACUUAGGUUCGGAAUAACUCCCCGAAAGGGGUGCUAAUACCGGAUAAUGUCUUCGGACCAAAGAUUUAUCGCCUUUGGAUGGGCCCGCGUUGGAUUAGCUAGUUGGUAGGGUAAAAGCCUACCAAGGCGACGAUCCAUAGCUGGUCUGAGAGGAUGAUCAGCCACACUGGGACUGAGACACGGCCCAGACUCCUACGGGAGGCAGCAGUGGGGAAUAUUGGACAAUGGGCGAAAGCCUGAUCCAGCAAUGCCGCGUGAGUGAUGAAGGCCUUAGGGUUGUAAAGCGCUUUUACCCGGGAUGAUAAUGACAGUACCGGGAGAAUAAGCUCCGGCUAACUCCGUG
rnacentral:rRNA from 1 species